CUCAGGAGGAAGAAGUUGCCCUGUUGAAUGAAGAUGCUUACAGCGUUGAGAAGGAACAUGGAACCACUCUGACACCUGAAGAUCCAGCGGUACAGCAGGGGACUGGGCGCUGAUCAAAGCCAUAAAAAGAAAGACCUCGUCCAGUCCAAGGUGGGAAGGCCCGUUCCAUGUCCUACUCACCACUGCCACAGCACUAAAGAUCGCUGAACGAGCCACCUGGAUCCAUCUGUCACACUGUAAAAAGGUCCCAGGUGCUCAGAAAGGAGAUUUCAUGGAGCUGUUGUUCUCUGUCUGGGGCUGCUGUGUGUUUUCCUGAUGGCUGGGCUCAUUGGCCUCGGUGUUCACUACCGUGAAUCAGUACGUGAUUCAUCUGCAGAACUCUCCACUGUGAAAGCCAACCUGACGGAGCGUCUCCAGAGCAUUAAUAACGAGAUGUCUUCUGUGACUGAAGAGAGAGACCGACUGAAUGCCAGCCUCAGUGAAAUUACUGAAGAGUUGGACAAGCUUCAGAGUUUGUCCAAACAGAACCAUGAUUCAGCACAGCGUUCAGCUGCAGAACUCUCCUCUAUCAAAGUGAACCUGACUGAGCUUCUCCAGGCCAGAGAUAACAAGCUUUCUUCCCUGACUAAAGAGAGAGACCUGCUGAAUGCCAGCCUCAUUAAAAGGACUGAAUAGUUGGAAAAGCUUCAGAAGAAAACCUGUCCUGCAGGAUGGAAGAUGUUCAGUCAUAACUGUUAUUUCCUCUCUGAUAAGUCUGGUUCUUGGGAUAAAGGCAGAGAGGACUGUAAAGGCAAAGGAGCAGAUCUGUUGGUGAUAAACACCCCUGAAGAGCAGAAGUUUGUCUUAGAGUUUUCCAAGAAAACCACUUGGAUUGGGUUGAACGACAGAGAUCAGGAGGGUGUCUGGAAAUGGAUAGAUGGAACUCCAUUUACUCUGAGGUACUGGGCGAUAAAUCAGCCUGAUAAUGGUGAUGGGGACCCAAUAUGGGGUGAAGAGGACUGUGUACAAAUCAAUGCUGAUCACACUCAUUGGAACGACCUGUCAUGUCAAACUUCUCUGCAAUGGAUCUGUGAAAAAAUUGCAUAACUCUGAUGUAUAACUUUUUUCAAGAUCAUAUAUUUGUAAAUGCUUUUAUGUAAGCUGUUAUGCAAAGCUUUAGUAAUAAGUGCUCAUGUAUGUUU